rnacentral:rRNA from 1 species
CACUCCUACGGGAGGCAGCAGUGGGGAAUAUUGGACAAUGGGCGCAAGCCUGAUCCAGCCAUGCCGCGUGAGUGAUGAAGGCCCUAGGGUUGUAAAGCUCUUUCACCGGUGAAGAUAAUGACGGUAACCGGAGAAGAAGCCCCGGCUAACUUCGUGCCAGCAGCCGCGGUAAUACGAAGGGGGCUAGCGUUGUUCGGAUUUACUGGGCGUAAAGCGCACGUAGGCGGACUAUUAAGUCAGGGGUGAAAUCCCGGGGCUCAACCCCGGAACUGCCUUUGAUACUGGUAGUCUUGAGUUCGAGAGAGGUGAGUGGAAUUCCGAGUGUAGAGGUGAAAUUCGUAGAUAUUCGGAGGAACACCAGUGGCGAAGGCGGCUCACUGGCUCGAUACUGACGCUGAGGUGCGAAAGCGUGGGGAGCAAACAGGAUUAGAUACCCGUGUAGUCCCAUGAU